UACGUAGGGCGCAAGCGUUGUCCGGAAUUAUUGGGCGUAAAGAGCUCGUAGGCGGCUCGUUGCGUCGGAUGUGAAAGCCCGGGGCUUAACCCCGGGUCUGCAUUCGAUACGGGCAGGCUAGAGUGUGGUAGGGGAGAUCGGAAUUCCUGGUGUAGCGGUGAAAUGCGCAGAUAUCAGGAGGAACACCGGUGGCGAAGGCGGAUCUCUGGGCCAUUACUGACGCUGAGGAGCGAAAGCGUGGGGAGCGAACAGG
rnacentral:rRNA from 1 species